CGAAGCGACGUCGCGUGGGUGAUGAAGGUCUUCGGAUCGUAAAGCCCUGUCACCUGGGACGAAGGCUCUUGAUACAAAUAGUGUCAAGGGUUGACUGUACCAGGAGAGGAAGCCCCGGCUAACUCCGUGCCAGCAGCCGCGGUAAUACGGAGGGGGCUAGCGUUGUUCGGAUUUAUUGGGCGUAAAGGGUGUGUAGGCGGCCAUGUAAGUCAGAUGUGAAAGCCCUUGGCUUAACCAAGGAAUUGCAUUUGAAACUACAUGGCUUGAGUAUGAGAGAGGAGAGUGGAAUUCCCGGUGUAGAGGUGAAAUUCGUAGAUAUCGGGAGGAACACCGGUGGCGAAGGCGACUCUCUGGCUCAAUACUGACGCUGAAACACGAAAGCUAGGGGAGCGAACGGGAUUAGAUACCCCGGUAGUCCUAGCCGUAAACGAUGGGCACUAGGUGUAGGGGGUUUAUACCUUCUGUGCCGCAGCUAACGCAUUAAGUGCCCCGCCUGGGGAGUACGACCGCAAGGUUGAAACUCAAAGGAAUUGACGGGGACCCGCACAAACGGUGGAGCAUGUGGUUUAAUUCGACGAUACGCGAGGAACCUUACCAGGGCUUGACAUGUAUCUGAAAACCCCAAGAAAUUGGGGUCCUCCCU
rnacentral:rRNA from 1 species